AUGGUGCAAAACAGCCUGGGAUAAUAUUGUCAGCUGCCAGGCCAGACUAGGGUGGCUCAAGGGGUUGCAAUAGUUUCUAAAUCUUUUGAAGGAAAAACUGAUCGCACAGAAGAGUGGUAUGGAACCCAGUACAAACAAGAAGCUAUACCAGAUGAAGUCAUCAAGAAAUGGCAAAAUGCUGACCUGAAUGGGAAAUUUAAACUUCCUACAAAGAAUGAAUUUAUUCCUACGGAUUUUGAGAUUUUACCAUUAGAAAAAGACGCGACACCAUACCCUGCUCUUAUUAAGGAUACAGCUAUGAGCAAACUCUGGUUCAAACAAGAUGAUAAGUUUUUUUUGCCGAAGGCUUGCCUCAACUUUGAAUUUUUCAGUCGCUACAUUUAUGCUGAUCCUCUCCAUUGCAACAUGACAUACCUGUUUAUCAGGUUAUUGAAGGAUGAUUUAAAAGAGUAUACAUAUGCAGCACGCCUCUCAGGUUUGAGCUAUGGCAUUGCAUCAGGAAUGAAUGCAAUACUUCUUUCAGUGAAAGGUUACAAUGACAAGCAGCCAAUUUUACUAAAGAAGAUUAUUGAGAAAAUGGCUACCUUUGAGAUUGAUGAAAAAAGAUUUGAAAUUAUCAAAGAAGCAUAUAUGCGAUCUCUUAACAAUUUCCGGGCUGAACAGCCUCACCAGCAUGCCAUGUACUACCUCCGCUUGCUGAUGACUGAAGUGGCCUGGACUAAAGAUGAGUUAAAGGAAGCUCUGGAUGAUGUAACCCUUCCUCGCCUUAAGGCCUUCAUACCUCAGCUCCUGUCACGGCUACACAUUGAAGCCCUUCUCCAUGGAAAUAUAACAAAGCAGGCUGCAUUAGGAAUUAUGCAGAUGGUUGAAGACACCCUCAUUGAACAUGCUCAUACCAAACCUCUCCUUCCAAGUCAGCUGGUUCGGUAUAGAGAAGUUCAGCUCCCUGACAGAGGAUGGUUUGUUUAUCAGCAGAGAAAUGAAGUUCACAAUAACUGUGGCAUCGAAAUAUACUACCAAACAGACAUGCAAAGCACCUCAGAGAAUAUGUUUCUGGAGCUCUUCUGUCAGAUUAUCUCGGAACCUUGCUUCAACACCCUGCGCACCAAGGAGCAGUUGGGCUAUAUUGUCUUCAGCGGGCCACGUCGAGCCAAUGGCAUACAGGGCUUGAGAUUCAUCAUCCAGUCAGAAAAGCCACCUCACUACCUAGAAAGCAGAGUGGAAGCUUUCUUAAUUACCAUGGAAAAGUCCAUAGAGGAUAUGACAGAAGAGGCCUUCCAAAAACACAUUCAAGCAUUAGCAAUUCGUCGACUAGACAAACCAAAGAAGCUGUCUGCUGAGUGUGCUAAAUAUUGGGGAGAAAUCAUCUCCCAGCAAUAUAAUUUUGACAGAGAUAGCACUGAGGUUGCAUAUUUAAAGACACUUACCAAGGAAGAUAUCAUCAAAUUCUACAAGGAAAUGUUGGCAGUAGAUGCCCCAAGGAGACAUAAGGUAUCCGUCCAUGUUCUUGCCAGGGAAAUGGAUUCUUGUCCUGUUGUUGGAGAGUUCCCAUGUCAAAAUGACAUAAAUUUGUCACAAGCACCAGCCUUGCCACAACCUGAAGUGAUUCAGAACAUGACCGAAUUCAAGCGUGGUCUGCCACUGUUUCCCCUUGUGAAACCACAUAUUAACUUCAUGGCUGCAAAACUCUGAAGAUACCCCAUUCAUGGGAAAGUGCAAGUGGAUGCAUUCCUGAGUCUUCCAGAGCCUAAGAAAAUCAUCUUGGCCACUUUAAUAGUUUCUGAUUCACUAUUAGAGAAACAAACAAACAAAAAAAUUGUCAAAUGUUAUUAUGUAGAAAUAUUAUAAAUCCAAAGUAAUUAAAUUACAAAAUCUU
rnacentral:sRNA from 1 species